ACCUAUGCUUCGGGUGAGAGAAACACGUAUCAGAAUUCAUCUUGUUUUAGACACCAUAAUUUUCUAUGUAAGGAAGAAAAAAUGGUUGUUCUUUAUUUUUGAUCCUAUGAUACAUGUCGCUCUCACCUGAAGCAUAGCUGC
rnacentral:pre_miRNA from 1 species